rnacentral:misc_RNA from 1 species
GAUGAAGAACGUAUCGAAAUGCGAUAAGUAAUGUGAAUUGCAGAAUUCAGUGAAUCAUCGAAUCUUUGAACGCACAUUGCGCCCGCCAGUAUUCUGGCGGGCAUGCCUGUUCGAGCGUCAUUACAACCCUCAGGCCCCCGGGCCUGGCGUUGGGGAUCGGCGGAAGCCCCCUGCGGGCACAACGCCGUCCCCCAAAUACAGUGGCGGUCCCGCCGCAGCUUCCAUUGCGUAGUAGCUAACACCUCGCAACUGGAGAGCGGCGCGGCCACGCCGUAAAACACCCAACUUCUGAAUGUUGACCUCGAAUCAGGUAGGAAUACCCGCUGAACUUAAGCAUAUCAAUAAGCGGAAGA